rnacentral:rRNA from 1 species
GGUAUUUUGACCGUGCAAAGGUAGCAUAAUCAUUAGUUUUUUAAUUGAAAGCUGGAAUGAAAGGUUGGAUGAAAAAUAAGCUGUCUCUAUUUAAUUUUAUUAGAACUUUAUUUUUAAGUAAAAAAGCUUAAAUUUUGAUAGAAGACGAGAAGACCCUAUAGAGUUUUAUUUAUUUUUUAAAUAAGAUUAAUAGUAUUAAUUAUUUUUAUUUAAAAAAUGAAUUUAGUUGGGGUGAUUGAAAAAUUUAAUAAACUUUUUUUAUAUGUAUACAUUAAUAUAUGAUUAAUUGAUCCUUAAUUUAAGAUUAAAAGAUAAAAUUACCUUAGGGAUAACAGCGUAAUUUUUUUUGAGAGUUCUAAUCGAAAGAAAAGAUUGCGACCUCGAUGUUGGAUUAAAAUAAAAUUUUGGUGUAGAAGCUAAAA